rnacentral:rRNA from 1 species
CCUACGGGUGGCACCAGUAGGGAAUAUUGCUCAAUGGGGGCAACCCUGAAGCAGCAACGCCGCGUGGAGGAUGAAGGUUUUCGGAUUGUAAACUCCUUUUGUUAGAGAAGAUAAUGACGGUAUCUAACGAAUAAGCACCGGCUAACUCCGUGCCAGCAGCCGCGGUAAUACGUAGGGUGCAAGCGUUACUCGGAAUCACUGGGCGUAAAGAGCGCGUAGGCGGGAUAGCAAGUCAGAUGUGAAAUCCUAUGGCUUAACCAUAGAACUGCAUUUGAAACUGUUAUUCUAGAGUAUGGGAGAGGUAGGUGGAAUUCUUGGUGUAGGGGUAAAAUGCGUAGAGAUCAAGAGGAAUACUCAUUGCGAAGGCGACCUGCUAGAACAUAACUGACGCUGAUGCGCGAAAGCGUGGGGAGCAAACAGGAUUAGAUACCCGGGUAGUC